rnacentral:rRNA from 1 species
CAUGCAAGUCGAGCGAGGUCCAUCCAGUGGUAACACUGGUGAAGACCUAGCGGCGAACGGGUGAGUAACACGUGAGAAACCUGCCCCGAAGACUGGGAUAACUCUCCGAAAGGAGAGCUAAUACCAGAUGCCCUCACCGGGCCGCAUGACUUGGUGAGGAAAUGGAUUCCGCUUCGGGAGGGUCUCGCGGCCUAUCAGCUCGUUGGUGAGGUAACGGCUCACCAAGGCUUCGACGGGUAGCUGGUCUGAGAGGAUGAUCAGCCACACUGGGACUGAGACACGGCCCAGACUCCUACGGGAGGCAGCAGUGGGGAAUCUUGCGCAAUGGGCGAAAGCCUGACGCAGCAACGCCGCGUGGGGGAUGAAGGCUCUCGGGUUGUAAACCCCUUUCAGCAGGGAAGAUUAUGACGGUACCUGCAGAAGAAGCCCCGGCCAACUACGUGCCAGCAGCCGCGGUAAUACGUAGGGGGCAAGCGUUGUCCGGAUUUAUUGGGCGUAAAGAGCUUGUAGGCGGCUUGGUAAGUCGAGUGUGAAAACUCCAGGCUCAACCUGGAGACGCCAUUCGAUACUGCCAUGGCUAGAGUCCGGUAGAGGAGCACGGAAUUCCUGGUGUAGCGGUGAAAUGCGCAGAUAUCAGGAGGAACACCAGCAGCGAAGGCGGUGCUCUGGGCCGGUACUGACGCUGAGAAGCGAAAGCGUGGGGAGCGAACAGGAUUAGAUACCCUGGUAGUCCACGCCGUAAACGUUGGGCACUAGGUGUGGGUCCCUAUCGACGGGAUCUGUGCCGUAGCUAACGCAUUAAGUGCCCCGCCU